GCAAGUCGAACGCAUCCUCGGGAUGAGUGGCAGACGGGUGAGUAACGCGUGGGAAUCUACCUAUCUCUACGGAACAACACAUAGAAAUGUGUGCUAAUACCGUAUACGCCCUUAGGGGGAAAGAUUUAUCGGAGAUAGAUGAGCCCGCGUUGGAUUAGCUAGUUGGUGAGGUAAUGGCUCACCAAGGCGACGAUCUAUAGCUGGUCUGAGAGGAUGAUC
rnacentral:rRNA from 1 species